GAUGAACGCUAGCGGCAGGCUUAACACAUGCAAGUCGAGGGGCAACACGGGUAGCAAUACCUGGUGGCGACCGGCGCAAGGGUGCGUAACGCGUGAGCAACAUGCCCUAUACAGGGGGAUAAUCCAGGGAAACUUGGUCUAAUAUCCCAUAGUAUUUAGAGGUGGCAUCACCACUAAAUUAAAGCUUCGGUGGUAUAGGAUUGGCUCGCGUGACAUUAGCUAGAUGGUGAGGUAACGGCUCACCAUGGCAAUGAUGUCUAGGGGUUCUGAGAGGAAGGCCCCCCACACUGGGACUGAGACACGGCCCAGACUCCUACGGGAGCAGCAGUGAGGAAUAUUGGACAAUGGAUGGAAAUCUGAUCCAGCCAUGCCGCGUGCAGGAAGACAGCCCUAUGGGUUGUAAACUGCUUUUAUAUGGGAGCAAUAAGGUCUACGUGUAGACUGAUGAGAGUACCAUAUGAAUAAGC
rnacentral:rRNA from 1 species